CUACGUGCCAGCAGCCGCGGUAAUACGUAGGGUGCAAGCGUUAAUCGGAAUUACUGGGCGUAAAGAGUGCGCAGGCGGUUUUGCAAGACCGAUGUGAAAUCCCCGGGCUUAACCUGGGAACUGCAUUGGUGACUGCAAGGCUAGAGUGUGUCAGAGGGAGGUGGAAUUCCGCAUGUAGCAGUGAAAUGCGUAGAUAUGCGGAGGAACACCGAUGGCGAAGGCGGCCUCCUGGGAUAACACUGACGCUCAUGCACGAAAGCGUGGGGAGCAAACAGGAUUAGAUACCCUGGUAGUCCACGCCCUAAACGAUGUCUACUAGUUGUCGGGGAUUAAUCUCCUUGGUAACGCAGCUAACGCGUGAAGUAGACCGCCUGGGGAGUACGGUCGCAAGAUUAAAACUCAAAGGAAUUGACGGGGACCCGCACAAGCGGUGGAUGAUGUGGAUUAAUUCGAUGCAACGCGAAGAACCUUACCUGGUCUUGACAU
rnacentral:rRNA from 1 species